UGGGGAAUAUUGCACAAUGGGCGCAAGCCUGAUGCAGCGACGCCGCGUGAGGGAUGACGGCCUUCGGGUUGUAAACCUCUUUCAGUAGGGACGAAGCGAAAGUGACGGUACCUACAGAAGAAGGACCGGCCAACUACGUGCCAGCAGCCGCGGUAAUACGUAGGGUCCGAGCGUUGUCCGGAAUUACUUGGCGUAAAGAGCUCGUAGGUGGUUUGUCGCGUUGUUCGUGAAAACUCACAGCUUAACUGUGGGCGUGCGGGCGAUACGGGCAGACUAGAGUACUGCAGGGGAGACUGGAAUUCCUGGUGUAGCGGUGGAAUGCGCAGAUAUCAGGAGGAACACCGGUGGCGAAGGCGGGUCUCUGGGCAGUAACUGACUCUGAGGAGCGAAAGCGUGGGUAGCGAACA
rnacentral:rRNA from 1 species